AUUGAACGCUGGCGGCAGGCCUAACACAUGCAAGUCGAGCGAUCACUGGUUUCGGCCAGUGGGAGCGGCGAACGGGUGAGUAACGCGUGGGAAUCUGCCUGGUAGUGGGGGAUAACGUUCCGAAAGGGACGCUAAUACCGCAUACGCCCCAUGGGGGAAAGCUGGGGACCUUCGGGCCUAGCGCUAUCAGAUGAGCCUGCGUCGGAUUAGCUAGUUGGUGGGGUAAAGGCCUACCAAGGCGACGAUCCGUAACUGGUCUGAGAGGAUGAUCAGUCACACCGGAACUGAGACACGGUCCGGACUCCUACGGGAGGCAGCAGUGGGGAAUAUUGGACAAUGGGGGCAACCCUGAUCCAGCCAUGCCGCGUGCGUGAAGAAGGCCUUCGGGUUGUAAAGCACUUUAGGUCGGGAGGAAGGCUCGCUGGCUAAUAUCCAGUGGGAUUGACGUUACCGACAGAAUAAGCACCGGCUAACUCCGUGCCAGCAGCCGCGGUAAUACGGAGGGUGCGAGCGUUAAUCGGAAUUACUGGGCGUAAAGCGCGCGUAGGCGGCUUGGUAAGUCGGGUGUGAAAUCCCUGGGCUCAACCUGGGAACUGCAUCCGAGACUGUCAGGCUAGAGUGUGGGAGAGGGUAGUGGAAUUCCCGGUGUAGCGGUGAAAUGCGUAGAUAUCGGGAGGAACAUCAGUGGCGAAGGCGACUGCCUGGCCCAACACUGACGCUGAGGUGCGAAAGCGUGGGUAGCAAACAGGAUUAGAUACCCUGGUAGUCCACGCCGUAAACGAUGUCGACUAGCCGUUGGGAACCUUAGAGUUUCUUGUGGCGCAGCUAACGCGAUAAGUCGACCGCCUGGGGGGUACGGCCGCAAGGUUAAAACUCAAAUGAAUUGACGGGGGCCCGCACAAGCGGUGGAGCAUGUGGUUUAAUUCGAUGCAACGCGAAGAACCUUACCACCCCUUGACAUCCUGCGAACUUGGUAGAGAUACCUUGGUGCCUUCGGGAGCGCAGAGACAGGUGCUGCAUGGCUGUCGUCAGCUCGUGUUGUGAAAUGUUGGGUUAAGUCCCGUAACGAGCGCAACCCUUGUCCUUAGUUGCCAGCGCGUAAUGGCGGGAACUCUAAGGAGACUGCCGGUGACAAACCGGAGGAAGGUGGGGACGACGUCAAGUCAUCAUGGCCCUUACGGGGUGGGCUACACACGUGCUACAAUGGCCGGUACAGACGGUUGCGAACUCGCGAGAGGGAGCCAAUCCGAGAAAACCGGUCGUAGUCCGGAUCGCAGUCUGCAACUCGACUGCGUGAAGUCGGAAUCGCUAGUAAUCGCGGAUCAGCAUGCCGCGGUGAAUACGUUCCCGGGCCUUGUACACACCGC
rnacentral:rRNA from 1 species